rnacentral:piRNA from 1 species
AAGCACUGCUGGCACAGGUCCCGGA